rnacentral:misc_RNA from 1 species
AAGUCGUAACAAGGUUUCCGUAGGUGAACCUGCGGAAGGAUCAUCAAUGAAUUUUCAAAAUUCAUUUGGCUUUGGUGAACUUUUCGGCAAUUUGCUGGGAAGGGUAGCUAUCGCCUUAUCAACCACCAGUCUCUGUCCUCUGGCGGAGGUGUCUUGAAAAGAUGCCUUUCGUUUUUUGGGCAUCAGCAGCUCCCAAGCCCUUUGCCGAUGGACUUUGACUUUUUGAGUAGUUUUGGGCGGGGCCGCUCUUUUUGUUGUUGGGUCGGUUUUUUUAAAUCUUUCCAACACGGACGAGCAAACCUCCCUUUACUCGGUAUUGUGGGCACUAAAUUAAUUAAAAUACAACUUUUAACGAUGGAUCUCUUGGCUCCC